AAAUUAGAGUGACACAGAGAUGGGCACAGCCACUGCACGAGGAUGACACAAAAAUUUGUGAAGCGUUCUU
rnacentral:snRNA from 1 species